UGGCAAUACUCAGUAUGCCAUGGCUGCUUAAUCAGUGAUUAAGUAACCAUUUGGGCCGCCGCACAGGUUCGCUUCUUUCCAUGUGCCGCCGCCGACUCAAAACAAAAGGAGAUGCUGCAAUAGUAGGCUGUGCCUAUUGCUUAAGAUUAUCCAGCUAAGUGAUGAAUUGGUUUGUUCUUUUCCGGUUCAUCGCCUACAAUUAAUAAAGAAAUAAGCAUGUAGAAAGCUAAUGGUCACGAUGUUUGGACACCGGUUCGACUCCGGUCGGCUCCACAA
rnacentral:tmRNA from 1 species